rnacentral:rRNA from 1 species
GACAACGCUGGCGGCGUGCUUACACCUGCAGUCAAACGAUGAAGCUGGAGCUUGCUCCGGUGGAUUAGUGGCGAACGGGUGAGUAACACGUGAGAAAUCUGCCCUUGACUCUGGGAUAACUGCGGGAAACUGUAGCUAAUACCGGAUACUUUCCCUGGUGGGCAUCCACUGGGGAAGAAAGAAUUUCGGUCAAGGAUGAUCUCGCGGCCUAUCAGCUAGUUGGUGAGGUAACGGCUCACCAAGGCGACGACGGGUAGCCGGCCUGAGAGGGUGACCGGUCACACUGGGACUGAGACACGGCCCAGACUCCUACGGGAGUGCAGCAGUGGGGAAUAUUGCACAAUGGGCGCAAGCCUGAUGCAGCAACGCCGCGUGAGGGAUGACGGCCUUCGGGUUGUAAACCUCUUUUAGCAGGGAAGAAGCGAAAGUGACGGUACCUGCAGAAAAAGCACCGGCUAACUACGUGCCAGCAGACCGCGGUAAUACGUAGGGUGCAAGCGUUGUCCGGAAUUAUUGGGCGUAAAGAGCUCGUAGGCGGUUUGUCACGUCUGCUGUGAAAAUCCAAGGUUCAACCUUGGACUUGCAGUCGGGUACGGGCAGGCUAGAGUGCGGUCAGGGGGAGAUGGGAAUUCCUGGUGUAGCGGUGGAAUGCGCAGAUAUCAGGGACGGAACACCAAUGGGCGAAAGGCACAUCUCUGGGGCCGUAACUGAACGCUGAGGAGCGAAAGCGUGGGGAGCGAACAGGAUUAAAUACCCUGCUAGUCCACGCCGUAAAACCGGUGGGGGUGGCUUACGCUGUGGGCCACCAUUCCACGUUGGGUCCGUGACAAAAGUUUACACACUUUAAGCACCGACUGGGAAUACGGGCCGACAGGUAACACUCAAGGAUU